UCUUGGGGUUUGAUUUUUGUGGUGUUUGGAGGUGGCGCCGCCGCCAGAGAAUGUUAGGGCGACGCUAAGGUUUUGCUUUUGAUCUAAUAUUCGAGAAGUUCCAGGGAAAUUUGAGAAGAAUUGUUUGGAUAUUUGGGAUGGGGAGGUGGAGAGGAGUUUAUGGUGUUAAUUUGGUAGUUAUUGGACCACCGGAACUGUCGUGAUGCGAUUUUCUGUGGGCGGAGUAGGGUGGAUGCGAUGUGGGAUUUGAGGGAAGCAGUCUCUAGGGUUUGGGAGAGA
rnacentral:lncRNA from 1 species